rnacentral:rRNA from 1 species
AUACGUAGGUGGCAAGCGUUGUCCGGAUUUACUGGGUGUAAAGGGCGUGUAGGCGGAGAUGCAAGUCAGGAGUGAAAUCUAGGGGCUCAACCCCUAAACUGCUUUUGAAACUGUAUCCCUUGAGUAUCGGAGAGGCAGGGGGAAAUCCUUUGGUAGCGGUGAAAUGCGUAGAUAUUAGGAGGAACACCAGUGGCGAAGGCGGCCUGCUGGACGACAACUGACGCUGAGGCGCGAAAGCGUGGGGAGCAAACAGGAUUAGAUACCUUGGUAGUCCACGCUGUAAACGAUGAAUACUAGGUGUGGGGGGACUGACCCCCUCCGUGCCGCAGUUAACACAAUAAGUAUUCCACCUGGGGAGUACGAUCGCAAGAUUGAAACUCAAAGGAAUUGACGGGG